CCUCCCCGUCCUCUAGGAGCACAGAUCCUCCCCGCCCCCUUCCCGAGCAUGAGGCUAGCUCUCCCAUCGGCGCCGCCGCCCCUCCCUGUCCGCUAGGGUUGAGGUCGCACGGCCAUCUCUCCGCCGGCAGGGCCGGCUCCUCCGGCGGCAAGGUGCUCCGGCGUGAAGGUGCUCAGAGGUGCCCCUGCUGAUCUCCUCCUCAUGCAACAACAAGAAGCAACCAGAUGUGCAGUGUAUAUGCAUCAACAAGGAGGCACCUGAACAAUAUUUAUUCAAAGCAAGACGCGAAAGAAUCAUGUUGUAUGCUUCAGAUUUAUACUGAAAGUGUGUCCCUAUUUUGAUGCAAUUCUUCUUUUUUACAUACUAGGAAACGUUCUGUAGCAAAAAACACGCUCACUGAGCAUGUCGUUAUGGAUUACGUAAUGAAGCGUAGAAAAUGAAGAAGAUAAUCAAGUCGAGAGCGACCGGCGAUGAUGUGUAGUUGCUGGAUGAGCUUCUCAUCCACGCCUUGGCUGCAAACCGUGUCUGCAGGUGCAGCAUGGAUCAUAUGAUUAGUUUCAGGGGGCUAAGCGAUGAAGAGGAUAAUCAAGCAGAAUACCGACAACGAGGACAUACAGUGGCUGUGUGUGCUUCUCAUCCACUCCCCCGCUGUAUCCCAUGUCUAGGGUGCAGGAUGUAUGUGGUGAUCAACAUAAUACGGGAGACAUGGGAUCAUAUGAUUUCUUGAAGCGGACUAAGCUAAGAGAGGAUUACUGAUGCUUACAUUGUUCUCAGUCAGGACAAGCAAGCCCAGUGACUCCCACUACGACUCAUGGCGCUUCGACCUCCUUGCAACAAUGAUCACUCGAGGUUUGCAUCGUGGAUGCCGUUGACGGUGGGCAUACAUGCUACGGUGGAGCACAUUGCAUGUUUGAGGUUCAUGCUUGGUGUGAACUUGGAACUCAUGCUUUUGUUUGUGAACCUUGUUGGAUAUGUACCUGUGUGGACUUUGGACUCAUGGUCAAUUUGUUAUGGUUGUCAAGUUGUAAUAUAUUGUUGUUGUGAACCUUCGUUGGUUAUAUAUUACUUACUGGAUCUAUAUUUGCUGGA